rnacentral:rRNA from 2 species
ACAAAGUUAAAAUUUAAAAUCUAAGCACUAAGACUUUAAAGUUAAAACUUAAAGAACAUGGCGACGGUGACUACUCAGGGGAACUUACCAGAUAAAUUGACAACCCACACGGAACCGUGCUCAACUUUAAAGUAUGUAUACCGCCGUCUUUAGAACUUCCUUAAGGGUAGUUCUACUAGUUUAUCUACUAUAAGACAGGUCAUGGUGCAGCCAAUAGUUUAGCCUAGGCGAGUUACAAUAUAUAUUUUUUUCGUUACUUUUUUUGAAAUAAAAUUUAAGAGCAGGACUUGAAAGUAAAAUUUAAAAGAAAUAGAUUUUGAAUAUUAUUUCUCACCGUGC